GAUGAACGCUGGCGGCGUGCCUAAUACAUGCAAGUCGAGCGAAGAGGGGAGGGGGGUGUAAAACGUGGAGAAAAUCCUAGAAGACUGGGAAAAAUUAGGGAAAACGGAGCUAAACCGGCUACUGAGAGAUGGAUGCACGCUGCAUUAGCUAGUUGGUAAGGUAACGGCUUACCAAGGCAACGAUGCAUAGCAGACCUGAGAGGGUGAUCGGCCACACUGGAACUGAGACACGGUCCAGACUCCUACGGGAGGCAGCAGUAGGGAAUCUUCCGCAAUGGGCGAAAGCCUGACGGAGCAACGCCGCGUGAGUGAUGAAGGUCUUCGGAUCGUAAAACUCUGUUAUUAGGGAAGCGGUACCUGAUCAGAAAGCCACGGCUAACUACGUGCCAGCAGCCGCGGUAAUUC
rnacentral:rRNA from 1 species